UGUGGGUAAAGAAUCUGAGAGAGAAUGGAUGUGGAUGUGUGGAUAUGUAUGAUUGGAUCACUUUAUUGCCCAGCAGAAAUUAUCACAACUUUGUAAACCACCUAUACUUCCAUACAACUUAAAAAAUAAAAUAAAACAGACAACACUGAAGAAACAUGAGGCUUUCACAUCAAAUUCAACUGGAAAAUCACCCACUUACCCAUGAGGACAUCUCCAGCUUGACAGAACACCCCCAGAAAAAGCUUUAAUAACAACCACUUCCCAAGACAUAUCAUAGGUUCUUCAGGCUCUGGGAGCCUUUUUACUGUCCUAGACAUCUGAAGGGGUAGAAAGAAAAAUACAGCAAUUUUAUGUCAACCAACCUAGACGAAAUGUCGAGGCAAACAAUUCAAUGGGCCAAAACUGCAAAAAUCUCAAUGACUUGAUAUUGGCUUAAUUAAUUUCUUUUGGGUGAGAAACAAUGAUAUUGAUGGUGGGGUGGUUAUGAUGAUGAGAGCUAACCCACUUUUAGUUCUCACAACAUGCUGGGCACUGUUUCAAACAAGUGAUACCCACUGAUUCAUUCAUUGCUCUCAUCAACACACCGAGGCAUCAUAAUACUUUCAUUUUCUUUUCCUUCUUUUCUUUUUUUUUGCCUUUUUCUAGGGCUGCUCCUGCCGCAUAUGGAGGUUCCCAGGCUAGGGGUCGAAUCGAAGCUGUAGCCACCGGCCUACGCCAGAGCCACAGCAACGCGGGAUCCGAGCUGCGUCUGCAACCUGCACCACAGCUCACGGCAACGCCGGGUCCUUAACCCACUGAGCAAGGCCAGGGAUCGAACCCGCAACCUCAUGGUUCCUAGUCAGAUUCGUUAACUACUGUGCCACAAUGGGAACUCCAUAAUACUUUCAUUUCCUAUAUGAGAUAACUGAGAGGUAAAAUCUCUUAUGGGAGGUCGGGAAGAUCCAGUAAGGGGUGGAGCCAGGAUUAAAACUGAGAGUUACAGAGGAUCUGGAUGAAUAUGAAUUAUUGUAUGAUAAUCAUCUGUACUCUGCUCAGUGAUGCGGGAUCUUUGCGAAACCGAGAACACAGAAAGUACACUCAUGACAGAGGAAUUUUGCUCUAGCGCUUCCCUCUACUGGGAAAAAUCUUCCGCUAGCUGUUUUCCUCACUUCCUCACUCGCAUCAAGCUUUUAUCCCCUCCAAUCUUGUCAAUGGCACCGCUCUGCGGGUCCUGUUUAAUUCUGCAAACUGCUCCUUCCCGCUUGAUUAUACUCAUACUUCACAUGCUCUUUAAUCUGCUCGCUUUUUAUUUUCUUUUUAGUAUGUUGACUUCUAACAUACUCGAAGAUUUGUAUAUUCUAUUUGUUCUUUAUUUUCUCUCGAGAGACCUUUUCCAUUGUGCUAAAAUAGAAAUUCUAUGAGGCCAGAAAUCUUUGACUCUGGUUCACUGAGAAUAGAGAACUGUGCCUGGCACAAGGGCAACCCUCAAACACAAAUUUGUUUAAUGAACAAAUGGAAAAACAAAAAAUAAGGAAAAUGGAAAGGAAAAUAAGACAGUGUAUAUGACUCAAGAAGUAAUAGGAAAAUAAAUGCACUAUAGCUUGAGAAAAAUAGAAUUCUCUGAGAAUUGCUUCACAUAAUAGUGGUUUAGAUGGAAUUAAAGGUGAGUUAUUUCAAACCUUCGAUAGUCACAUAGUCUCUAUGAGUAAAACAUUUUAAAAUAUAGAGGAAGGAUAAAUAUUACUGAGUAUGAAUAAAUAUUAUACUUAGAAAACCCGAAUGAUGAAAGAAAUGUAAGCAGUAAUAAUGGCAUGACCCUUUUUACCUGUUUUAAGCAUAUACAUUGUGUUUAUGUAUGUGUAUGUAUAUCUUAUAUAAUAUACAUCUACAAUAGAUAUAAUGAAGUAUUGCUUACAGUAUGGAAUCUAGAAAUUUAUUUUCACAUAAGCUUCUAAUAGAGAAGUUUGGCGAUGUGCAUUAAAGUUAAAGAAGCAGUGAACAUAUCCUUUAAUCCAGAAAUCUUACUCUUGUUGCAAGGAGACCAUUGGACAAAGGUAAAUAAAGAUGUUAAUGCAGAUUAUUAAUUAUACUGUCUUUAAAAGUAACAAAAUACUUAGAAACCAUCUAAAUUCCCAUCAUUAGGUAGCAGUAAGGUAUAUGAUACACAGGGGAAACAAAAAGAAAAAUAUGAUUUUAUAGAAUUUCCUUUUUGUGUGUGAGGAUAUCAAGACAAUCUAGAUAAUAGCAAAUAGUUGUUUCAUCAUAUCAAUAAAAUUAGUGCAGUUACGUAAGCUUUAUAAAAUAUUUUAAUUCAUUUUUUACAUUGAAAGCAAUCAAAAUUUUUUAUUUUUAUUUUUUGGAGUUCCCUUACGGCUCAGUGGGUUAAGGAUCCACUGUUGUCAUGGCUGUGGCUCUGGUUACUUCUGCAGCAUGGGUUAGAUCCAUGACUAGGGAACUUCCACAUACUGCAGGAGUGGCCCAAAAUCAAAAUUUUAUUUUCUAGUCAACAAGGUCAAAAAUUAUUUCACAGACAGCCAGUCUGUGGCCCUUCUUUAACUUGUUUCCAGAAAGGAGGAGGGUAUAUGGUGUUAAUAGUUGACCCAUGACUCACUUCUGAGCAUUGAAUUAAGUGGACUUUGUCUUUGGCUGCUAAUCAUUAUUCAAAUAUAUGUGUCAGUAUUUGGUUUGGUCAAUGAAACCUGGUAAGUAUAUUUCUGCCUAAUACUUACUUGGUUUUAUUUUAAAGGUCUGAAUUAUACUACUGAGUGUUCCCUAGAGGAUAUAGUGUGACGUCUUAAAGUGUGUUUAAUUUACGUUGUAAUGUGCAAGAGUUUCACCACUGUGGAAAUGAUAAGACAUAAAUUGAUCAUUAUAGAUAAAUACCAAUUUUCCCCUGGAGCACCCUUCUCAAGAUGAGACUCAGAUUUGUUGUUGUAAAUCCACUAGGCUUCACAUCUCAGGCUUAUAGCUGGGUUCACCUUACUUUCUCUUUCAAAAUUAUUUUCUUUCUCUUAUUAUCUCGAAAGCCACUGAGGGGAAGAGUUUCACUUCUGGAAGCAUGCAUUACUAGCAAUCUCCACUUCACAGAAAAUAUGUGGAGAAAAAAAAAUAGGGUGGCCUUCUCAUCCUGCUUUGCCUAGGCAUCCUAGGUUUAGUCUCACAUCUUGGGACAACUGCUUUGGAGCAAAACUGGAUACCUGGUCGCCAUUAAUUGAGUCCAACAUUUGUGGAAGAUCGAAACAUAUCCAGUGGACAAUCUUAGGUUGUUCCACAUGGACUAUUUUGUGAGUUAUUAUCUGCAUAUUGUUUUAACCCAGAGGCUCUAUCUCUUCAUUUGCCAACUAAAUGCGAUUUUUGGAUUCUGCUUCUGGUCUCAGGCUGAUGGCUAUGAACAAAAUGAUGCUCAGUGCAGCAGUGAGUCUCCUGCGAGAGGCACCAGGAAGAGAGCAGACUUCUGUCUCAUCGACUCUUGGGGAAAUGUAAGGAGAAACAAAACAACCAAGACAAAACUGUCACGGCUUCGCUCCUCCCCAAGGCCUUUUAGGACAGAGUCACAGGCACACUAUCACAGCUGACCUCAAUACAGCCAGUGCACCCCCCGGGCCCGGGAGUCCUGCUUCUUCAGGUCCUUGGUAAAUGGAGCCUACAUGCCCCCUCUUGACACCCAUUGCUCUCACUUUCAGAAAGCAUCCCUGCUUUGGCCAAGAACGGCAGAGUUACUCAGUAUUUCCUUGGUGGCAGACUCUCCUUUUAUUUUCCCCAGAGCAAACAGGAUCAAACACAAUGUGGUCAUUUUGGCAGCAGUUAUUCUACUUCACGUGGAGAACGAGAAGCCGUUUUUGGUGGUGGAACGGAGCCACAGACAGGCCAGUGUGAAGUUGCACCCAGACCAGUCACCAGAAGAACCAUGACCCCGGGGAGCUCAGAUUGUGAGAUCUCAGGUUACCACUCAAACCCAGGCUAAACCUAACACUGCGAUUUGUCUUAUGAUGCCCCGCAUGCCUCCGAGGAACCCACAUGCAAUUUAAUUUUAAUGGGUAUUUUACUAUGAUUAAUAAAUGUCAAUUUAGCAUGUUAUCUUCAUGUGACAGCAUAUUUGCAGACUUUAUCUAAGACAAGAGUAUUUUUAUUGCACUUUAUAUUCAAGAGAAUUGUGGCACUGUUGAUAAUAGUUUCAUGGUUUAUGUAUUUGGUAAGGCUCAUUUUUUAAAUGGAAAUUCUUUUUGAACUUAUGGACGUGUUUUGUUGAUAAUAAAAGAGUUAAGGAAUACAGAAAGGACCUGGGUAGGGCUGGUGUCAUUUAAUGGAUAAAUUCGUUUUCAAUAAAAAUCUCUUGAAAUUUUUUAGUAUAAUGGGAGAUGAUGCAGGCUACAUAACUCAAUGAGAUUUUCUUUUUUUCAAAUUCAUGUCAUUUUCACUUUAUGCAGAAAAACUUACGUGGAUAGUACAGUGCUUGUGACUUCCAAUAAGUAAAUAAUAUUACUUCUAAUAAAUGUAGAAAGAAUGGUUAUUUUUUGCANAUAAAAACUUUAUUUAUUUACCUAUUUAUUUAUCUUUUUAGGGCCACACCUGCUGCAUAUGGACGUUCUCAGGCUAGGGGUUGAAUGGAAGCUGCAGGUGCUGAUCUGCACCACAGCUUGUGGCAGUGCCAGGUCCUUAACCACCUGAGUGUUGCCAGGGAUCAAAUCUGCACCCUUGUGAAUACUAAUCACGUCUUAACCCACUGAACCACAAUGGGAACUCUGACAAAUACUGUUAAAGAUAAUAAUUUCCCAUGGUGGCACAAAACUUCUGUAGCUUUUGCUUGAUUUUGUUAACUUAAAGCCAAAAAUUAGAAGUCUCACUUUUACUUUUGAGGGGUUAUUUCAAUAAUCUUCAAAUUGUAUUUAAAGAGUAACGGGGUACCAGCAGGGGAACACAGACAGGGUUCCCAGGUACCCUCUUGACCCUUGUGUAUCUUAAAAUAGAGGGUUUAGUGUGUAUUCACACACACACACACACACACACACACACACACACACACACACUCCAAUGUAUAUAUUUUUCUUUUUUUACUACUGAGUUUCUCUUACAGCUGUUUUUUGAAAAGCGACUUUCAAUUAAGAAUGAUAUUGAUUUUGACGCUUGAGUAAAAACAUUUGUAUUUUAAAACUAUGACAUUUUUACAGGUACUCAUGAAUAUACGCAGAAUAGGUCUAUCUAUGGCCUUCAGGCUUUUCAAAAAUAUAAGUUUCUUUCUCCCUUCUAAUUUCUUAUCUUCAUCUACCUAGAAAACAUCUAAAGUGAUACAGAGACUGCUCAUUUAACUUGAUGUUGCAUUCUUUUUACUUGCAUGUUUUUAUGUAGAAUCCUCAGGAAUAAAUGAGAAGACAGAUAUUUGCAGCAGCAAAAAGGAAAUAAAUAAAUACCAAGUUUGUGUGAUUA
rnacentral:lncRNA from 1 species